rnacentral:rRNA from 1 species
UACGUAGGGAGCAAGCGUUGUCCGGAAUCAUUGGGCGUAAAGCGCGCGUAGGUGGCUUCGUAAGUCCGUUGUGAAAGUCAAAGGCUCAACCUUUGAAAGCCGAUGGAUACUGUGAAGCUAGAGUACGGAAGAGGCGAGUGGAAUUCCUGGUGUAGCGGUGGAAUGCGCAGAUAUCAGGAGGAACACCAAUAGCGAAGGCAGCUCGCUGGGACGUUACUGACACUCAUCCGCGAAAGCGUGGGGAGCAAACAGG